CUGGCGACCAAAAUCAAGAUUUAUGAUAGUUUAAUGACAAAUACUGAGCAUCAUAAUUUGAAUGGCUUAUUCUGCUAUCAAUCUGCUCUCUUUUUUUAGGAAAUAAUUAAAUAGCAAAUCCACCGGAUGCAAGUAAAUAGGGGCAAAACCCUUGUUUGUGUAUUACUCAAAUACCGUUCAUAAGCAUUAUAUGCUCUGGUAUGGCUCCUAACUUGCUUGGGGAUUUUUU
rnacentral:lncRNA from 1 species